UGUCACUAGACUUUGACCAGAUAUUAUUGCAUCCAAAGAUCAACUGAACCUAGAACAUAGAUACAGAGACAUUUGUCAUCAGGAAGGUUCUCUCUCAGCACAACGGAAAAUAUCUCAAUGACUUGACAUGUUCUGGUUGUGAAUUCAGGCUACAAGGGGUCAGUGCUCUAAAAUGAGUCUCUCUGGGGAGAGAGAGGAGGGGGGCCCUUCCUCUAAAAUGAGUCUCUCUAGGGGACAUGACACCAAAGCUAAGAGCCCAAUCAAGCAGGAGAGACCAGCCUCCCCUGUUCCCAGCUGUGUGUCCAUGAAGAGUGACUGGUCUAUGGAACCUCCUAUAGAGUUUAGAGAGGGAGACUUUUCUACUGAACAAAGGUAAGAAGAACUCAUGGGUCCUGGUCAGUGAGUUAAACAACACUGUCUCUAGUCAUUUCUCCUCCCAUUUUCCCAUUUAUUGUUGUUGUUUUCAUAAUCCAUAGGCUAAUCAUUUUGUCCAUUUUCAUAGUCCUAAAACAAUAUUAAACAAACACAACAUUCCCUCCCUGUGUGUGUGUGUGUGUGUGUGUGUGUGUG